UACGUAGGGGGCAAGCGUUUGUCCGGAUUUAUUGGGCGUAAAGAGCGUGUAGGCGGCCAGGUAGGUCUGCUGUGAAAACUCGAGGCUCAACCUCGAGACGUCGGCGGAAACCAUCUGGCUAGAGUCCGGAAGAGGAGAGUGGAAUUCCUGGUGUAGCGGUGAAAUGCGCAGAUAUCAGGAAGAACACCCGUGGCGAAGGCGGCUCUC
rnacentral:rRNA from 1 species